AACUAUGAGUUGAACUGGGACUCAAGCUAUGUGCCUUCAACAUCAAAAAAUUACAAAAGAUCAAUUACGAUUGAGCAACAACUCAGGCUACUUGCCUGUUGUUAUUGUCAAGAAUGGAAUCUUUGGUUUCUGAAACAGGCCACUCAGCCUCCUACUUCAACUCCUAUCAUCUCUGGAUUUCUAAUAUUCAGAUUCCAUGAUUUCCUUUAAUUCCUCCUUGAUAGUAAAUAUAAUCUUGGUGCGCAGACAUCACUGUUUAUGUUAUUUUCUCCAAAAAUUCUCCCUCUGAAUCUGUGUGAUAUAUUUUUGGCUCCUCUUCUUCAACAACAAAAUCUAUACCCUUGCUAUUCUCAACCACCUGCAUUGAGAAGCAAUUGUGCAAUAGAUCGUCACACCUCAAAAAGUAGUCAUCAUGAAAACGUGUUUCACAUAUAUUUGACAUAUUGUUUCAGCAAUCUCAUCAGUAUCAGACUCUCCUUUCUUUCAUUUAUCACUAGGGCCCUGUCCUGAUCGGUCACUUUUCUGAGCCGGGAUCAAUAAGUGGAAGUCAUAUCUUUUGCAAAAUUUCAAAUUUAAUAUCCUUGUUGUUCUUACCCACCUGCAUUUGGAAAGAAAACUUUUACUAUUGGAUUAUCACAGCUUAAGAAAUUUAUAUGUCUCGUGAUAAUAUUUUUUUUCUCUUGAUGCCAAUGACCAGUGACUAAUACUACUGGCGCCUAAAUAUGGCAAUUGAGCUUGCUCCUGCUAUAAUUCAAGGGCCCAUCAGCAAAAAUGCCUCGAGUAGUUAAACGGGCAGGAGAUAAUAACAGAAUAAUUAUGUGCACGGGUGAACCUUAUACUUAUCCUACAUUUCUUAUAUAUUAUUGUUAUUUUGUAGUUUAUGUUAUUUUAUAUUAUUUUAUUAUGAGUCAAUUGAUCGUACUAAUAUAUCGUCUCUUGUUGUUUUCUUGAGUUGAAGGUCUCCUGGAAACAAACUCUCUGCCCUUCGGGGCAGGAGUAAGGUCUGCACACAUAUUAUCCUCCCCAGACCUCCCUUGUAAAACUAUAUUGGGCCGUUGUUGUUGUUGAAACUUAUACUUAUUUACCUGGGCUAGCGCCCAAAAAUUAAUGUCACGAAAGUUUAUUGAAUGGCAGAUAAAGCUUUCUAGUUACACGAUGAUAAUGCAAAAAGUACGUCAAAUGAUUUCCGAUAAAUGAAACUUUUGAAAUUAAAUAAUUCCACCAAUAUAGACUUCGUCGAAUAUAUGUACGAAAUGGAAAAGACCAUUGAAACAAAGCUCAACAGUGAAAUACUACGUAUUACCCAUGUUUUGCGUCUGUUUCUAGAAAGUGAUAGAAGAAAACUAUGUUAUUGUUAUACCGAGCACUUCCAGUGCUAUAAUCUCAAAUGGCAUGUAAAACUUUUUUUAAUUACACGAUGAUAAUGCCAAAGAAAAUUUCACAUAAUACUCCAGGAAGAACUGAUUAUUAGCUAAAGCAUAUUAAAUUUUUUUCAAGAAUGGCCUGAUCCAAGCUAAUAUUACCUUCAAGUGCACCUAGGCGGUGUUUGAUAUGGAUGUAGCAAAAUUUACCUUAAUUUUGUCAAUCCAAACACGAUCUAUAACUUGACAGUUCUCUCAACAAUACAUCAUCAAUAUGCCAUGAAAUUUCAAUAACUUGUGAUGCAUGGAACAUUUUGCCUAUAAAAAUAAACACACUUCUCCGAGCUAAAGACUUGUGGUGAAGACUUUUUGAGAAUGAAAAGAGUUGCAAUUUCUUACCAGGGCACUGUUAACCUGCAAAUAUAGAAACACGGAGCAGGGACUAAAAAGAGUAAAACAUAGCAGUCAAUAUAGAAAAUUUCAGCAGUACUAAAUCUCACCUUCGGAGAACAGCAGGAGGAAGAUUUGAAACAGAGUGAGGCGAGAGUCCACAAUAACCACAAACGCAUAGGGAUGGAUGGCUAAGCACACACCGUACUGAGAAAAGGUAGGAUGCUG
rnacentral:lncRNA from 1 species